rnacentral:lncRNA from 1 species
GCUCAUGAUCACAGAGCUAAUCUCUCACAGCCUGGCUCCUGCAUCCACUCUUUUAACCUACUACUCUUUGCUACUGGUUUAUGUACAGUUCCCCAGCAUUCCCUUGGAGAUUCCAUGCCUGAUUUUACAAAAUCUCUCUCCCCAGGUAUAACACUUUCUGCUGGGUGUUGGGCAAUGUGCACAUCCCUCUGAAAUGUCCACGUGGCUCCUCGGAUGUCCGCUGGCUGUCACAGGUUCACAGGCAUCUGUUCUGUAGGAGACCUCAGUAUCUGACUUUCUUUCUCUUCCAGAAUCAGGGCAUAAGGAAGCAAUUUCUACCCAUACAGACUUUAAGACAUAAAAUUGCAGCACAUCACAAACUCUUCAUCCUUGUAUGAAGUGCCCUGCCUCCACACAAACAAGGAUACGAUCUUGGGAUCUGUCACCAAUCAGGGUGAGUUUGCAAGGAGUCUUCCAGGCCCUUGGGAACAGGGUCAUGAAUUUUUUAGAUGGUUGGCUGGAGUGGCUCAGAGCUGGAGGACAGACCUUCCGGUGAGUGUAGCAAACUGGUCUGGAGAGAAGCCCGUGACCUUGGCCUCCUUGCCCUGGGAUUCCAGGUGGGGACCUGAACAUCCCAGGGUGCUUCCCUAGUCCUCUGACCUUCCUUAGGUCCCUCCUGUGUGCUGGUUUCCCUGGUGAGAACUGGGCGAGCCGAGAAGGAUUUACAGAAAGGCAGGGUGACUUGUCUUUCUGCUGUGAACCUCUGACUUGUGUUUGGGCCUCACUGUUAUACACAGAGAUAUGUCUCCAGCUCUUCCAUGCCUCCUGCCAGCUUCCUGCUGGUAGUUCCCAAGGCCUUCUCCGCCCCCAGAAUGCUUUUCCUAGAUCCUCUUCCCACAGGGCCCCAAAGCUAAGCUGCCUGGAAGUAGUGGGAAGUGAAUUCCUGCUAAAACAUCUGAAUUCUCUGCACAUUGCAUUUUUAUCUUCCUGGGGACAUCAAAACUGAAAAGUUUAAGAGUAGGAGUGGAAUGUCAGGUUCCCUGCCGUGAGAGGGAUUUCGGGGUCUGCUGUCUUAGUACAUAAUAUCAGAGACCAGGUAGUUUAUGAUCACGAUUUUUAGAGGCUGGAAGUCCAAGAUCAAGGCACUGGCAGAUCUGGUGUCUGAUGAGGGCCUCUUUCUGGUUCAUAGAGAGCCAUCUUCUCACUGUGUCCUCACAUGGUCAAAGGACAAAAGCAGCAUUCUGGGUUUUUGCUGUUGGUGGUAGAUUUUUUUUUUUUUUUUGGUACUGGGGAUUGAACCUAGCAGUGCUUUUAUCACUGAACCACAUUCCCAGAACAUUUAAUUUUUUAUUUUGAGACAGGGUCUCACUAAGUUGCUGAAGUUGGCCUCAAACUUGUGCUCUUCCUGUCUCAGCCUCUUGAGUCACUAGGAUUACAGGCAUGAGUCACCACACCCGGCUUCUGGGGCUUCUUUCAUAAAGAUACUAAUCCUAUUCAUGAGGACUCUGGCCUCAUGACCUAAUCACUUCCCCAGAUCCUACUCCUAAUGUUAUCACUUUAGUAAUUAAGUUUUCAACAUACAAAUCUGGGGGGAACGCAUUCUGUCUAUAGCAGCUGUUGUCCAGUAGACCUUCCUAUGUGUGGACAUGCAUCUGAAAUUGGCCCUGGUGUCAGGGCCAGGCCCACAGGUGUCCUCAAGUCCAGAAUUAAAACCUUUACUUUAGAGCCACAGUGCUCCCCCUGUCCCCUGCCCCCACCACCAGUUUGUAGGACUCAUUAAAUCUAGGACCCAGAUCCCGGUAGGCGUGGGGUUCAGUUUAGGCAACUGGAGUAGAGGCCUUUGUCCAGUGGGGUAUUUCCUCUGACGUCACUGGGCUGAUCGUCAAGGCUCCAAGGUGGGUCUCUGCCAGGAAAACCUGAACUGAAGAGGAGGAGAUUUGGCCUUCGGGGAAGAGGGCCUGUGUCCUGGCAGGCCGGACGUGCCUGCCCCGGGCUGGCUUCUUUUUGCUGCUGAUUCUCUGGGUUAGUGCACUUUUGACCCAAGAGGAGGGAAAAAAGGGAACAAACAGUGGAACUGUGACUGUCAGAUGUUGCGGGAGGGACUUUUGAACCGGUGGGAUGGUGACGGCCAUCAGAGGCUGCCGUCUUCCCUGGCCCGUCCCCCUUCCCACCUCCUGCCCUCACCUCUGUCCUCCCUACUCUACUUCUGAACGCCAGCUGCCUGGGCGACACCUUUUGCUUCCCAAGCCUCCUUUGUUGUUUUUCCUUGAUCCCUUUCUCAAAAAUAUUCUCCUCUCUUUCCAUCCGCUCAGUGCCAGACUCCUGGCAUCUGACUUGCCGGCUUGCGCAGGCUGCCAUCUCUCUCUCUGGCUCACCACGGUUUUAUAAUUGCCUCUGGUUAAAGUUUAAAUAGAUGGGUUUCAGCCCAAGAGAAAAAUGUAAACAAGCCCUCUCUGCAGUCUUUCAGAACUGCUGGCCUCCAGUGCUUCUGGAUUCUGUGCUAGGGGAUUCGUCCUGCUCCUCCCUAACCCCGGGAGCUGAGACAGGCCGCUGGCCUUUCAGAGCCACGAAGGCCUCUCUGAAGCCAUCAAGCUAUUGAGAGACUUUUAGAUGGCCUGGCACUGUUCCUUUUAACUCAAUCAAGCCAGCAGGAUCCGGUUCCCAUUCUAGCCAGGGUAUCUGGUGUGAUCAGGUGAAACAGGGUAGCAGUCCUCAUGGGCCGGCUUCUAGAUAGGAAGGAAGUGACAGGGAUUGUCAUUUCCCUGCUGGAAUUUUUUUCUCUGGGGGAGGAUGGGGUUGGAUUUGCUGCCCUGGGGUUUUGGCAGUUGAGAUGGUCUCAGGAGUCAUUAGAAUGGGGCCAUGUGGAGCCAUCACAGCAGGGAGAGGUAGGCCAGGGUUGAGCUCCUGUGUUCAGGCACAGAUCCCCUUCUUUGCUGUGAUUUCUCAGAAGUAAGCAGGCCUUCUUUGUCUUUUUAAUUUUAUUUUAAUUGUUGGGAGUUUUUAUUUGUUUGAGUCUUGAUUAAGAAUAUUGAUUUUCUGGGGCUGGGGUUGUGGCUCAGUGGUAGAGCACUUGCCUUGCAUGUGUGACGCACUGGGUUUGAUUCUCAGCACCACAUAUAAAUAAAUGAAUAAAAUAAAGAUCCAUCAACAACUAAACAAAAAAAAAGAAUAUUGAUUUUCUAUCUUUUUCUGCUUUGUGUACUUUGUGUACUUAUGAUCUGGUGUCAGAUGGAUUCAGCAAUAACUUGGAAUGUUUUAGUCACAAAUUUGAUUGAAUGAUUACCUUCCCCUACUCAAAAACCUUCAGUGUGUCCCUGUCUUCAGUUCAGGGUCUUAGGCCUGGUUCUGUCUUCACCUUGCACCAUGCCAGUCCUGAUGAACUCAGGUGACCUCUUCCUCCCUACUCCUGUGACCCAUUCCCUCACUCUGCAGUGUCCUAACCCUCUGCCCCACCCCUGCCCUGCUUAGCAUCUGCUCAGAAACAUCUUCCUGUGUUCUGUGGGGUCCCCUACCCUCCCUCAGCAACCAAGGCCAAGCAUCCUCCCUUUAGUUCUCCAACAGCCACGCCCACCCCCUUUCCUGUAACCCUAUUUCGUUGUCUGAUUUUCAGCCUGUUCCAUCAGCCUUGCACUUGAUACUUAGCUCUUUGGUUGUAGGAUGAUUUUGUUUUUCUAUCCCCAUAGUCAUGUGUGACCCACUGGUCAGUGCUCAAUAACUAUUUAAUCUUUGUUUUUCAGCCUCUCUGAAAAGAUGUCAAUAUUUUUAAAACAGAGGAACCAAAAGGAGUGAAGGAAGGAUUGGGGAGUCAUUAGAUUUGGGUUCAAACCGAAGUUCUGCUGAGGUUAGUACUAGGACUGCUUCCCGGUCACCACCCUUUCCCACCUUCACUUUCUUUGCAGGUAAAACGAACACAAUAAGCUGAUUUCUAUGGGUUUUUGUGCAAAUUAAAACGACAUCUUUCAAGUAAAGAACCUAACACAGUUCCAUCUCGUCCUUAUCCUCUCCUGAUUUCAAAACAAUUUGAAUCUUAUCAACCAAUUUAAAAGACAGGUGCCACGUUCUCCCAUUACUCACACAGCCCUCCUUGAUGGAAGCAUUUCUUCUCAUUCACACUUGCAAGUUUGUGAAAGGCUAUUUUUUGGGGGGUGUCAUUGGACUUAUUUAUUGUUCAUUAGAAGUUCUCUCAAUGAGGCUGGGGUUGUGGUUCAGUGGUAGAGUGCUUGCCUAGCAUGCAUGAGGCACUGGGUUCAAUCCCUGGUAUCGCAUAAAAAUAACCAAAUUAAAAAAGGCAUUGUGUCCAUCUACAACUAAAAAAAUAUAUAUAUUUAAAAAAAAGAAGAAAAUGGGCUGGGGUUGUGGCUCAGUGGUAGAGCGCUUGCCUUGCACGUGUGAGGCCCUGGGUUUGAUCCUCAGCACCACAUAAAAAAUAAAUAAAUAAAAAUAAAGAUACUGUGUUCAUCUACAACUAAAAAAAAUUUAAAGAAAAAGAAGGAGGAGGAGGAGGAGGAGGAGGAGGAGGAGGAGGAGGAGAAGAAGAAGAAGAAGAAGAAGAAGAAGAAGAAGCUGUUCUCUCAGUGGUAGGGGUGAAGGUGAGGCAGCUGGUGUUCUCUACUGAGUUAAUGUCACAUGUCAUCCAUGGCGUAAUGUCACCUCUUCACUGCCAAUCUUAACUGGAAAGAGAGGAAGAUAUGCCAGGGAGGACCCCUUUUCUUUCCCCCUCCAUCAAAAGUCGGUAGCCAUCUCCCCCAUGGAAGGAGAGUGUGGAUGCCCACCAGGUGCCAGGUGCUAAAAUGAAAGAUGAAUCAGCCAAGGCCCCAGCAUUUUGAAGUUUUCAGUCCAAUGUGCUUGCUGCAGGUUGACAUGGGGCAACUCAUCUAAUUAAACCAGGAUUAUAGGGGUGCAGAGGAGGAGAUAGCACUGCAGGAAAAUCUUGAGAGAGAGGAUGACCUGGACUGAAUCUUGAAAUAUCAGUACACGAAUGUGCCCAGUCAGGACGAAGCCUUUCACUCAGAGGAGCCCAAUCCUUGAUCCUUCCCCUCUGAUCCCUACGUGCAGCCUCCAGCACUGGGCUCUGCCAUCUUUGACUUCAGCUGUGCAGCCAGCUUCUCCUUGCUCCAAGGGCCAUGAUAGCUUCCUUAGAAGCAGCAUUUUUAGUGUCAGAGAAGUGACACUGGGAGCCCGCUGCUGCUUUUGUUGCCAGGGCUAGAGAACAGCUGGAGUGGUUUGCGCUCCCUGGGGGAGGCUGGACAAGCCAGGCUGUGUGCGUGUGUGACUUGUGCGUGGUGUUUGUGUGAGUUGAGAGCGCGUGGGUGUGUGUCCUUGUGGAUGGGCGGCUAGAUGUUUACGUGUAGGUGUUGCCACCGAAAACAGAAGUGGAGAUUCUGAAAACAAAGUGGCAGCUCAGGACCUCACGGGCAGGAAAGGGGGAGGUUGAAACAGCCCCGACCAAAACAAAAACAGAGGAGGAAGUUGCAUCAGAAGAGGAAGAAUGCCAAUGUCAUGCUGAAGAGCCACAAAUGUCACAAAAUAAAAAUAAAAUGUGCUAUUCCUAUUUUACCUAGGCAAAUACUGUUACACUGUUUUCCUCUUUACAGUGUAAUAAGAUUACCGAAAUAAUAUUUUGUGCAGCAAAAGUGAAGAACAACCAGAGAGAGCCACCCACAAACAAAAAUUGCUCUAUUUUUUAAAAAAAUUACAUACAUCAUAUUUUAUUUAUUUGGUUCAGUGAUUGAUUAUAACUUUGCUCUCUACCUGCAUUUAAAGUUUCUUUUUCCUCCAGCACUUAAAAAUAUUAAAAACCAGUUAUGAAACUGAAUUAUUGAAGAACAUUUCAAAGGUCUCCUUACUAUUAGCACAAACUGAGAAAUUCUAAUAAAGGUGUUCGAAUAAUAGCGAAGUGACUGAAGAUAUCAAAGCAAGAAAUAGAGAUCCCAGGGAUGUUAUUUACUUUUUUUCGUUUCAGUUAAAGUAGAAAUGCUAGUCCCUUUACUGAAAAAAUUAGAAGGAUAGUUUUCCUUUUGAUUAGGUUCUCAUAACUACACACAUUUUAAAAAAAAUAUAGGACUGGUUUUAGAUGUAGGGGUUCUAUUUUUUUUUUAAUUUUUUUAGUUGUAGUUGGACACAAUAUCUUUGUUUUAUUUAUUUAUUUUUAUGUGGUGCUGAGGAUUGAACCCAGGGCCUCGCACAUACUAGGUGAAUACUCUACCGCUGAGCCCCAGCCCCAGCCCCAAGAUGUGAGGGUUUUAUAAAAAGGUGAUGUAAUUCUGGGAUGAACUUUGCAUCUGGGGCUCAGCUAAGCCUUUUGAAUCUAUUUCUUUAUAAUUAUAGUCAAGGUUAUUGGCUUUCUAUCACUUUUCUAGAAUUGUAAUGGCAUCAAAUGAUUAACUGAGCUGCCAAUUUUGCCAAUAGUUAAAUGUAUAUUGAAUUUUUGGCAGUGGACUGGGCAAAUUUCAUGUGCUCUGGCUAAAGUAAUUCUCAACUGAAUAAAGUUUUACCACAUAUACUAGUUGACUAGCAAAUGAAGAAAGAAGCUUAGGGUGAGGGAUCAAUCAGACAAAGACAAGCAGCCAGAAAUGGGGAAAUGGAACAACCAAGUAUGCCUUUUGCUCUGUGUAUAUACAAUGGGUGCUCCGUAUAUAAUGUGGAGGGGGGCUGGAGUUGUAGCUCAGUGGUAGAGUGCUUGCCUUGCACACAUGAGGCACUGGGUUUGAUCCUCAGCACCACAUAAAACAAAAAAUAAGUAAAAUAAAGGUUUUGUGUCCAUGUUCAACUAAAAAAUUUUUUUUAAAUAAUGUGGAAGGAAGAAAUGGAUGGAAUGUGUGAAGGAAUAAGUAUAAUGAAAGCAGCUUGAAUGCCUAAUUCAAAAUGAGGUUCAGAUUUGGCUUCAUGAUAGGGUUAUAGCAUAUUUUCCCUUUGAUUUUCAGAAGUUGUGAGACUCUUUAAAAAAGAAAAUAUCAAUAAAAUUAGUUGGGUAAAAAAUUAAAAUAUAUUCAAAACUAAGUUUUUAAUUUUUAAAGUUUAUUUAUGUAUACAAACUUUAUAUAUAUGGUUAUAUAUAAAUUUAAAAAAUAUAUAUUUAUAUAUAUUAAUUUAUAAAUAUAUAUAUAUUUUCAGUGUUACCUUAGGAACAAAAAAUCAUUAGGGGACUGAGGAUGUAACACUUGCCUAACAUGUCCAAGGCCCUGGGCUCAAUCCCCAGCAUCACACAUCACACACGUGUGCACAGACACACACAUCCACAAAUUGGGAAAAAAUAGGUUUAUUCAUAAAAUUAUUAAAUGUUUAGGGUUAUAAUCUAUUCAAAUAAUAAAAAUCCACUAAUUUGAAAUGACCUUUUUCUUCUUAAAACUAAUUACUACUGGGGCUACAAGCUGCUGUAUUUUAUAACAAAUGUCAUUUGGCUUUUGCAACUGAGAGGAAACCAGUAAAAAAUUGGAGAAGAAAUCAUAAACAUCAUAAUAAAAACAAACAGAAGCAGUAAGUUUUAUUUUUUAUGGAUCCACUACCUUCCAUAUAGCAUUUAUUUUCAGAAAAUACAUAGAAAUAAACAUUUAUUUUUAGAAAAUAAUUCAAAGGAGUGGGCAGGGAAGAGGGAGAGAAAUAGACCAAACCCAUGGGCUGCAACAUUUUUUCAAACAAUAUUUUUGUUUAAGGAGUCAAAGUUCCCACAUUCGCCCGUUUCUCUGCUUUCUGAACUUCCACAUCUCUAGGGGCCCUCCACCUGGACAUACAGUUGGCUUUCUGGGUCCACAGUCCAGCAUCCUUGGAUUCAACCAACCAUUCCAUUUCAACCAUUCGAAGUCUUUGAUUUAAAAAAAAAAUUGCAUCUGUCCUGAACAUAUACACUUUUUUUCUUGUCAUUAUUUCCCAAACAAUAUAGUCUAGCACCUAUUUAUACAGCAUUUACAUUGCUGAGAUAUUUUAAGUAAUCUAAGGUCGACUUGAAGCAUACAGGAAGAUUUGCAUAGGAUAUAUGCAAAUACUAUGUCAUUUUAUAUAAGGAACUGGAGCAUUCUUAGAUUUUGUUAUCCCAAGGGGGUCCCGAAACCAAUCUCCUAUGGGUAUGGAGGGAAGACGGUAUUUCCUGACUUGGAAUUUGCCAAAAAUCUAAAACAUUGCUCCAGAGGAAUUACGCAAACUCCCUGGCCCAGCUUGUGUUCUCUUCUGAUGGUGUUCUCAAGGAAUGGGCAGGAGGAAAGACAAGGUGUGAACUACGAGAUGUUACAUUCUGUUUAACGUCGUGGAUCUGUAGCUCUUUCUGUCAAUGAGUGGCAGGCCAUUCUUAAAUUCUGCUCUUCUGCACUGAAGGAUCUUAGCCUCUCUGCCCCUGGAGAGCCAAGGAACUUUGCUCUUUGCCCAAAAUACCUUUCUCACCCGAAGCAGUUUCCCCUCCUCUGAGAAAUGCUGUCGUGUCAGGCUGCACUGCCCUUGAACCAGACAACUUUCUCUGCGUGUCUUUAUCUGUCUAAAUAAAGCUAACCUACAUUUGCUGUCUAAUUCAUUUGGAUGCUUGCUGAUGCUAUUUAAAGCAUCCCUCAAGGCCCAGAGGAAAACAAGAUGCAUUAUCUCCAGUUGGGAACCUUUAGGUUUGCUGGUCAUUUAAGGAAUUCAAGAAUCUUAAGAAUUCAUUCAGUCUGCACUGGUGCUGAUGCAAAGGACAAAGGAACUCUGGAUUUUUAUUCUAGACAGCUUUCUUUGACUCGUGCAUGCCUAGGAUCAUUUCACAGAGAGGUAGUUACGAAGUCAGUCUCUGUGUGUCUGUCUGUCUGCUCCUCAGGCUUCAUGAAAUCAACUUUCUGAAGAUUUAUUGCUCAUUAGAAUAUAUUUUUCAUUCUAGACUCUGAUGAUCGGUUAGUCCACUGUGUGAGCUUACUUAUCUCGGGGAACAAAUGUGAAAAUUCAAAAGCUGCUGUCACCUUCAUAAAGAGCCUUUUGAUGAGUUUUUGACUUGUUUCCACCCCUCCCUCUCCAGAUACCAUAUGUCCUUUCAUUAGAGAACCCUGACACUUCUACAUUCCAGAAAAGAAAAGGAAAUUCUACAGGGAACGGAGCAGAACACUGGUGUUGUAAAUAGGACUCCACUGUGAAUUCAUGUACGACUGAGAGUUCAGAGAGGUUUCAGAUCUGUUGUUUGUUUUUCCAGAUCUGGCAUUUCUGUGGGUCUGUUGGCUUGCUGGUACAAUGGGGUUGUUUUAACCAUUAGUGCCCCGCUGCUACCUUAAGCAUAAGCUUAUUAUCAGCAUCCACUUGUUCAGCCAGGAUUCUGUGACGUCCAUUGCAGUGGGUGAGUCAGAAGCCACAAGCUAACAGGUCUAUAUUCCUUCCCACUGUCACCUAGGAAACCAUCGCAUCAUCCACAGGAAAUGCAGGCCCCGAUGGGGGGUGUGCCCGGAUCGGGUUAUAAAGCUGGCAAAGAGUUUUUUCAAAGGAGGUCAAAUAAUAACAUGCAGAAUCUUGGUCUAAGGUGGGAGGUGAACCCAGCCUCUGUGGCAUGGAUUGAGAGCUGUGGGGCAGAAAUAGCAGGAGAAAUUAAUCAGCGCAAAGCACAUAAGAUGUCUGCUUUAUAAGAAAGUGAUCACGGGCAAGAGACAUACAGAAAUGAUUUGAUUCCCCCAGGAAGCAGUAUUUAUUUACCCGAUGGCUGAGGGUAUUUGGGGAAUGUGCGGUUGUACAGUGUGCGAAAUGAGAUGAAGAAAUUGACAACACAUCAAACCAGGCUUUUCUGUUGAAUGAAAUGCAUGUCUCUGUUUCAUGGUCAUUAUCCCUUAGCUUAAGAAGGUGCUAGGCAGUACCUUGGAGAAAAGCACACAGCGCCCACUGUUUUGUUCUUGUUUGCUGGUGCUGUGCCUGAUUUUUUCUUUCUUUGGCUGCUACAGUCCUUGGUCUGUAUAUCCCAGUUCACUGCACAAUAUUCAGAUACCUGUGGAUAAGCUUAGUGCAGCUGAGAAAAAUUACCUGUACCAUUUCAUGUUGUUCGACAAGCUUGAUGUUUCUGGGAAGCUUUACAUUCCCAUUGCUGCUAUGAGUCAUUCUACGUCAAAAGAUGUGCACCCCCAGGUGUUUUGAGGAGAGAGGAGAGAUAGAAAGCUUGAUCACAAGCUCAGGGAGAUUUAACAGGUGAUAUGGCCGCCUUAAGAGAUUGAGCUGCUUUGACUGAAGGAUGGUGUCCAAGAGAGGCAAUGGGUUCCAAUACCAGCUGGUCAGGUGCCCGACAAGAGUACAUCCAUCCUGAGUACCCAUUGAAGGAAGAGCAAUGACAAUCCUGAGUGUGUUCAGAGGAGGGCAAAGAUGGUGAUGACAGUUCUAGAAACUGUAACCUUAGGACAAUUAAAGAGCAUUAGUCUACUUACCCUGAAGGCCAGAGGAUCUGUCAUGGAAGAGAUGGGAAUGGGUAUCCUCAAAUAGUUGAAGUGCUGUCUCAAAGAGGGUUCAGACUUAUUUUGUGUGCCCACAAAGAGUGAUCAUAAAUUGUUACAAGUUAAAGGGUGGUGGAGUUUAGCUCCAUAUAACUAAUUUUCUAAUCAUUUAAGCUGAUCAAAGUGUAUUAAACUGACUAAUACAACAGUAACAUAAUUUUGUACCUUUGGAGUUGUUCCAAUAUUCCUUUAUUCAUCCAAAAGCAUUCAUUGAGUACCUGCCAUAUGCCAGACAUGUUAGGUACUAAAGAUACAAAGAUGACUAACAUAGUCACUUCCUCCAAAGGAAUCACAGUCCAGUAGAGGUUCUGUGAUCAUUUAAUAUGCAGGGAUUGUGUUUUAGUACAUUUUAUGUUACUAUAACAAAGUACCCAAUGCUGGGUAAAGGAAAGAGGUUUAAAUACCCUCACAGUUCUGGAGGUCCCAGAGGAUGGUACCAGUCUCUGCUUGCCUCUGGCAAUCGCAUUACACCCCAACAUGGCAGAUGGCAUCAUGGUGGAAGUGUGAAUGAGAGAGAGAUAGAACACAUGGCCAGACAGGAAGCAAGAGACAGAGAGUUGAGACAGUCAAACUUGCUUUAUAAAAACCCAUUCUCAGAAGAACUAAUCCAUUCCACGAGACCAGCGUUGUUAUUCUGUUUAGUACCCUACGUUCCUCAUUUCCUUCUAAUAGGUCCAACCUUUUAAAGGUUCUACCACCUCAACAGGAAAAUUCACAUAAUAUUCAAAGCACAUCAGACAGGAUGAGCAGUAAUGUAGAAUGUUGUGGAAGAGAUUCACGCUUUCAUGCCUUGCACAGAAGAUUAGAUGAAGGCACUUUGAGAUUGCUGUCUGUGUUAAUGAAGGCAAUACUAGCUGCUAUAACAACCCCACAAUGUCUUCUGGCUCAUGAAACAUGAUAGGAAGCUUUUUUUUCCUCACCAUAUACACCCAAAAUGGUUAUUUCUGAUGGUGGGUGUCUUGCUUCUAAAUGGUAAUUCAAGGACAGGACCCAGUUCUUUCCAAUUGGUGAUUCUGUCAUCUUCAACUUGCAGCUUAUGGGGGACAUUCUAGGCAUUGGCAUUUUGCUGAUAGAUGGGAGAGAACAUGGAGGAUCUGGGGGAUUUGGUUAUGAGUUGGACCUAGAAAUGAUGCUCAGAUACUCUGCUCCCAUUCUAUCCAAUGGAAUUUAGCUGCAUGUCCACACCUAACCAGGAGGCAGGCGUGAAAGGCAAUCUGGGGGGUGUAGCUCAGUGGCAGGGCACUUGACCAGCAGGUGCAAGGGCCUGGGUUCAAUCUCCAGCAUUGGAGGGGAAAAAACACAAACCCCUCAACUGGUCGAGCUGUUUUGCCAGAAAAGAGCAGAAACUGGUUUCAAUGUCUGGUGGCAGAACCAAGAUAAGGAAUUUGGGUUGGGGGGGGGGGUGCUGAAGAGAUGGGCAGGGUGCUCCAUUUAUUUAUUUUAAGAUUUUAUUUUUAUUUAUUUAUUUUCUUUUUUGACUAAUAAAAUAUGUAUUUAUGGCAUACAACAUGCUUUGAUAUAUACAUGCACUGGGAAAUGGUUAAAUCAUGUUAAUCAACGUAUUCAUUGCCUCACAUAGUUAUUUUAAAAAACAUUUUUGUGGUAGAUGGACAGAAUGUUUUUAUUUUAUUUAUUUGUAUGCGGUGCUAAGGAUCAAACCCAGUGCCUCACACAUGCUAGGUAAGUGCCCUACCACUGAGCUAUAGGCCCAGCCCAGUUAUCAUUUUUUGUUGUGAGACAAAAAUUUUUUUAAAAUUUCUUGUUUAAUGCCAGUAUCAUCAUGUCCCAUGUUUACAGUAAAUGUCUUCCUAUUGAAGGUCUCUACUCAGAUAUAUUAUUAUUACUUACGGUUGUUGUUGUUCAGUGGUGCUAGGAAUCAAACUCAGGGUCUUGCACAUAUGAGGCAAGUGUUCUACCACUGAGCUAUACCCCAACCCUCAAGGUAUAAUGUUAGGCUCAAAAAAAAAAGCAAGGUAGAGCACAAAGCAGAGUAUGCUACUUUGUGUAUGAAAAUGAAAGCAAUAAUACUAUUUGCAUUUGUUUUCAUAUAUGAUGAAACACUGGAAAAGUGAAAGAAACCACAGAGACCCGGAUAAAGGCAGAGGGAGGAUGGAGACAUCAGUGGGAAUGAGAGUUUAUGUAUUCCUUUAAAUACUCAUUUAUUACUUAUUUAUAAAAAUAUAUAAUUUAAAAAACCAAUUUUAUUCUAUUGCAGGAAAAUGUUUCACUGACUGACCUCUUUUUGCGUUCAAAUGAAGAAAAGUCAACAAUAAAAUUUCUUGGGAAUGUAAGCAGGACAUAACUUUUGAGCCUGAGGUAUAAAUAAUGAUGAAUUCUGUGUCUUUCUUGUUAUACUAUACCCGACGAAUUAGAGUUUUUGAAAUAAAAUAAAAGAAUAUUAAUGCAACAGCUUGGUUUUAUGUGA